GACGAACGCUGGCGGCGUGCUUAACACAUGCAAGUCGAACGAUGAACCCGGAGCUUGCUCCGGUGGAUUAGUGGCGAACGGGUGAGUAACACGUGAGUAACCUGCCCUUGACUCUGGGAUAACUGCGGGAAACUGUAGCUAAUACCGGAUACGACCCUCGGCGGCAUCGCCAGGGGGUGGAAAGAAUUUCGGUCAAGGAUGGACUCGCGGCCUAUCAGCUAGUUGGUGAGGUAACGGCUCACCAAGGCGACGACGGGUAGCCGGCCUGGGAGGGUGGCCGGCCACACUGGGACUGGGACACGGCCCAGGCCACUACGGGAGGCAGCAGUGGGGAAUAUUGCACAAGGGGCGCAAGCCUGAGUCAGCAACGCCGCGUGAGGGAUGACGGCCUUGGGGUUGUAAACCUCUUUUAGUAGGGAAGAAGCGAAAGUGACGGUACCUGCAGAAAAAGCACCGGCUAACUACGUGCCAGCCGCCGCAGUAA
rnacentral:rRNA from 1 species